UUUCUUUCACAGUGGUAAAAUGCAGAAAUAAUACUCGGUCCAAGAAGAAGAGGAAGAGUGGUUAAAUUUAUAAUUCCAGCAUCCAUCUCUGGGGAAAUCAAAUUAAUUUCAACUCUGAGUAAAGAUGGCGGAUACUACUAGUAAUUAAUGGGGAAGUUGCACGGGAACAACCUCGGAUCCGUGGUGUUCGACCACCCGACUCCCGGCGGAGGGCGUCAGUUUAAGAUUUGGUCAGCCUCAUUCCGCCGUAUUAUACUGGACACAGUUCAGUGCGGGACGCGGCAGCAUCAUAAGCUCAACAACACUGGCAAAUUAACCAUCCAAGAGCCCAAGCUGGAGCCCGACAUUGAUCUCACUGUAGUCACAACACUGAGAUAUGAGUUGAGUAAAGGUAGUAUUAGCAGUGGGAUUAAGGAUCCAACAAACACACCGCCCUCCGAAUCUGACAAGUUAUCAGACCUUCUGAAGCUAUCGGAAAAAGAAAACGAACCGGACGAGGAAGAGGCGGAGGCGGUGAAGAGGAAAGUGGAGGCACUGGAGGAAUUGAAGACAGUGGUGAAGAAUCUCCAAAGUAGCAGUAGUGGUAGCAGCAGCCAACAACUCGAGGAAAAUGAAAACCAUGGCUUCUUAGCUCCAGAUGUUCGCGUGUUGGAGGCAGCCAAGGAGAUUAGAAGGCUCGCUAAAGGCGAUUCUCAAGCCAGAACCACUCGUGCUUUGCUCGGAGCAAUAUCCCCGCUCGUGGCUUUGCUGGACGCCCCCCCGCAAUUCUACUUGUAGUACUUAUUCAUGUUUGUUCCUCCUUCCUAGAGAAAUUCCUCGAGGAUCCCAAAUUCGAGAUUGAAUCUGUAAUCCCAACAAGAUUACAGAUUCACUCCAACAGGAUGUAAUCUUGUUGUUACCCCAGUGAAGAAGGAGGAGUUGUUCCCUUUUGCUCAGAAGAUGCGGACAAAAAUGCCCUUUGAAGAAGCACACUGGCAUUCGUGUAAAUUGGCUUUUCGAUUGUAAAACCGGAUAAAUUGGUUAUAAAAGGGUCACGGUGCCCAGUUUUACAAGUUCGAGAGCUCAAAGUCAAC
rnacentral:lncRNA from 1 species